rnacentral:rRNA from 1 species
UAGGGAAUCUUCCGCAAUGGACGAAAGUCUGACGGAGCAACGCCGCGUGAGUGAAGAAGGAUUUCGGUUCGUAAAACUCUGUUGUUAGGGAAGAAAAAAUGUAUAGUAACUAUAUACAAAAGAGACGGUACCUAACCAGAAAGCCACGGCUAACUACGUGCCAGCAGCCGCGGUAAUACGUAGGUGGCAAGCGUUGUCCGGAAUUAUUGGGAGUAAAGCGCGCGCAGGUGGUUUAGAAAGUCUGAUGUAAAAGCCCACGGCUAAACCGUGGAGGGUCAUUGGAACCUAAUAAACUUGAGUGCAGGAGAGAAAAGUGGAAUUCCUAGUGUAGCGGUGAAAUGCGUAGAGAUUAGGAGGAACACCGGUGGCGAAAUCGGCUUUUUGGCCUGCAACUGACACUGAGGCGCGAAAGCGUGGGGAGCAAACAGG